rnacentral:lncRNA from 1 species
GUCUGAGCAUAUGAUAGUGAAACAAUAAGCAAAAAAUAGCCCACACAGAGUUUAUAUUCAACUCUGGGUCUGGUAUGAAGUGAUAGACAAAUUAAGUUAAAUGUAUAAUAGAUCUUAUGGUAGCAGGCAAUUCAAAGAAAAGCAGAGCAGAUGAAUAAAGUGUGGUGAAUAGGGUGCUAUUUAAAAUGUUGAAAUCAAAUGAGACCUUUAAUAGUGAGGUGACAUUUGAGCAGAUACUUGAAGAAGGUAAGGUGUUGAGCCAUGUUGAUGUCUAGAGUAAGUGUCAUAAGAGUUUUCUAGGGAAAGGAAAGAGGAAAAAAAAAGGUCCUGAAGGGUCUGAGUGAGUAUACUUGGAAUGUUUGAGAGAACAUCAAAAAGACCAUGUGGUUGGAUGAGAGUGUGAUCUGACUUGUUUUUUAUUACUAUUGUUGUUGCUUUUUGUUUUGUUUUUUUAGUUUCAGUAAUGUUAUUUGUUUAAUUCUAUUGGAAUAUAGUUGACAAAACUGUGUUAGUUUCGUGUUUACAUCAAAGUGAAUUAUAUAAAACAUAUGCAUAUGCAUAAACAUAUAUGUCUCCAUUAUUUUUUCAGGUUAUUUGUCCCUAUAAGUUAUUACAGAAUAUUGAGUAUAUUUCCCUAUGCUAUACAGUAGGUCCUUUUACUUAUCAGUGAUUUGACUUGUUUUGACAGAAUUGCUAUGGAUACUAUAUUGUGAACAAACUCUAUGAUGGCAGAGAUAGAAGAAUACCUAUAAAAAGGCUAAUCCAAAGAGGAGGUCAUAUGGCUUGAACAAGGGUGGUGGUGGUAGGGGUGGUGGAAGUGAUGAGAUGUAGUGGAUUUAUUACAGUUAAAAUGUGAGCCAUUGAAAUUAAAGAGAAAAUUAAUAGUAGAUCAUUAUGGAUAGGUUAUAGCAUAAAAGAAUGAGAGAACUCAAGUGCAACUGUGAAUUUUCAUCUUAACAACUUGAAAAUUUGUGUUGCCUUUGAGUAAAAUGGAGAAGAUGACAGAUGGAUCUGGUUUGAAGGAGAUGAUAAGGAAUUUGGUUUCAGACAUUAUGUUUGAGAUCUCUUUGGACAUCCAAAUUGAAAUGAGGAGUGAAAUAUGAGUAUUGAGUUCACAGGAGAGUUUCAGAGCAGAAAUAUAUCCUCAGUAAUCUUUAGGUUAUACAUGAGACUUAAAGUCAUAGGAUAGGAUGAUAUUAUAAGGGGAGGCGGAUAUUGGAAAUUAAGAUAACUCUGCCUCGGGUGGUCAAUGUCGGAAAGUGAGACACAUGGACAAGGAGAAAUCUCAACAAGGCUCUUUACUUCUGCAGAAGGGCACGGGCACUCCAAAAAGUGCAUGCUCCAAACAAGGGACACACCCCUAUUUAUCCCUAAGGCAGGUGAUUUACCUGCCCCCUUCCCAUUGGUCAGGUCAAGGCUCACAUUCUUCCCAGUUGGCUAAUUGAAACAAAUUGUUGCUGGGAAAAGAGUCAAAGAGGAAGGGCGUCGCAGGGGGUGUUUCAGCUGAAACCAGAGCAAAAUGGAGUAACCAAGAUUUCCUUUGAUAGAAAAGGCAUUAUCUUACUUUCCACAGGGGUAAGUAUAGUUAGAGAAAAGAGUAAAUCUAAACAAUGAACCCUUUGCUCCCCAGUGUCUAAAAAGCAGAGACAGCAAAGAAAGACUAAGGAUUUAGGCAAAAAGAAAUUCUGGAGAGUGUUGAGACCCGGUGGUACAAUGAAGAUACUUCUUUUCAAUGAAGGCAGAAUAAUGAACUGUGUUAAAUGCUACUAAUAGUUCAAGUAAGAUGAAUGUGAACAAUUGACCAUUGUAGUAUAGUUUCAGCAGUAAUGAUGGAUGUAAGAGAUUGACUGGAAUGAUUUUGAGUGUAGAUAAGGUGAGAAAUAUAUAGGGAGAGCUCUUGAAAAAAAUAUUAUAGGUAAGUUGUAAUAAAUAAAUUCUAUGAGAUUCUCAUAGGAAUAAAGUUAUAAGAGACUACAUGUCAAUGAGUAUAAUACAAUAGAAAGAGGGCAUGUUAUGAUGCUGAGGGAAAGGAACAAUUGCUGGAGUAUAUCUUUGAAUAGGUGAAAGUGGUGUUAAUUAUAACAUCUGGAAUGAUGUCAUAUAAAAUAAUAAAAGGCCAGCAGGUCCCCAUCACUUGACAUUUUUUUGUUCACUGUCAAUUUAACAGAGCAGAUAUUUUGCUUCAUCUGUAUCUUCCCAAUUUGAGUAAAUUCAGCUUUUGCACUUCUUAAUAAAAGAUUAAUUUGUAUUUUUUUCCAAAAAAUAAAGCAAAAUGCCUUAUUUAACUUUGACUCAGUCUAUUUACAAUGUGUGAAAAGGGUAGUUGUAUGAUUCAUUUGUAUAAAAGAGACAUCUGUUUUCUUGAUUAAUAAUGUCAUAGCUUGUGUUAAUCACAUUGACCUGGGUAAUCAAAAUUUAUACUUAGCUUGUAUGCUUGACAAGAUGCUAACAUUAUCAACAAUUUACAAAUUCACUAGUAAUAUGUUUUAAAAAGUAGUUAAGUCUUUAAAAAAAUUAAAACAAAAUCAAGUCAAAGGAUAAUUCAUUUCAAUAUAUUCUCUUUUUUGUUUUGUUUUUUUUGUUUGUUUGUUUGUUUUUUGUUUUUUUGCCUUUUCUAGGGCCGUUCCCAUGGCAUAUGGAGGUUUCCAGGCUAGGGGUUGAAUCUGAGCUGUAGACACCAGCCUACACCAGAGCCACAGCAAGGCGGGAUCUGAGCUGCGUCUGCAACCUACACCACAGCUCAUGGCAACGCUGGAUCCUUAACCCACUGAGCAAGGCCAGGGAUCGAACCUGCAACCUCAUGGUUCCUAGUCGGAUUCAUUAACCACUGCACCACGAUGGGAACUCCUCAAAAUAUUGUUUAACUCUUUUCUGUAAAAGUCAAAAAAUAUUCCAUAGAAUGCAGUGCUCUCAAAGUGAAACUCCUCCUUUACCUUAUUUCAUUACAUUGAGAUGUGUCUUAAUAGAUUCAUGAUAGAUAGAUAGAUAGAUAGAUAGAUAGAUAGAUAGAUAGAUAGAUAAUGUAAUAGCUGCAUUGUCUUUCUGGUUCUCGUCUGUGCACAGCAAAGAAUUCAAGUGGCGGUCAUGUGGGAAAGGUUAGGAAGUGUAAGCAUGUUAAUUGAAGGGAAAGAUUGCUCUCAGAGAGAGAGCUGGCUACCCUGGGAUUAGGGACUGGCCCUGCCUUACAAUUUGGUUUUCCUUUAUAAAUCCCCAUGCUGCAGACCAAAGUGAAGACCUGAUUUCUCAACUCCCCCAAACCCCUCCCCACCCCGCCACAAGCCUAUGCAUGCAUAAGGGCAGAGUGUUGAUUGGCCUCAAGUGUAUGCCUCAUCUUCAUGGGGCAUGUUCAGUCUCCCAGUUGUUCUCAGGUAGGAUACCUCAUCUGCAUGAGGGGUGGGUCACAGGGAAGUCUCCCAGAAGGUCCCUUGACUUUGUGCCUGCCUGUGUUCUUAGUGUUUAACUGUAGGCAUCCUGUUUUCAGUGAUGAUUAAAUGGCCUGUUCAGACCCACUGGGUCCAAUUCCCUCUCCUAUCCUACUAGAUAGAUAGAGAGAUAGAUCAUUACAUUCCCACACACACACACACACACACAUCUUUUUUCUCAACUCCAUCUCUCUGUUUCACCUGUUCUUUUUUGCACAUGUUUUUCUGGCAAUGGAAACUUUAAUAUAUUGCUCACUUUUAUUCUCCUAUUUUUUGUUGUUGAUACAUUUUUUCUCAUUAUUACAGGUAUAUUGUGUGAGUAUUUUCCUUCAACUAGGAAAUAUACCAUGUAUGCAGUCUAUAUUUCACAUAAAGACACUGCACAUAACAUUGCAGAGACAAAGUAAUGAGUCUCAAGUUACUAUUUAGACAAAAGAAUAUAGAGAACUGAGCAUAAAAUUAUGAAUCUUAAAAAUGAAAAUCAUAAUUUCUCUGCCAUGUGGAGCAUUGAAGGUAAUGUAAACAUGGCCUUCUAUUCUAUGAAGUUGUGCAUCUCCACUGACACUGUUUUCUUGGUACCAUUACCUUCGAGUAAUGGAAAGAGUCUAUACUUUGCAGUCAACAUGGCUUUGGGCAACGUACUUGACUUAUCUGAACUCCAAUUUCUCUUUCAUAAAAUGAGGGUAAAACCACCUUUCUCAGAGGUUUUCAUAGUAAUUACAGAGGCUAAUCUGUAUGAAAUACUUUGCACAGAGAAAACAGAUAACAUAAGGUCAUCAGGUAAUGCAUUCACUCCAAUACAAGUUAUUUUCAAUCUUAAAAAUUGUUCAGUCGUUUCGUAAAUAUUCAGCACUUAAUUGUGUGCAAAUACAAUUCUGA